GGAAAUUGAAGCACUUGAUUGGGAUCGUAUCGUGCUGGAAAUGUGCAACAUCAACCCAAAUUAAGAUUGGCUACGCGUGGUUGCUAGGUAUAGGCUAUAGCACUUCAACUCGGCUGGGAAUACUGUCUUUAACCAUCUGAAAGCGAAAGGGCGGGACUCUGUGAUGGACGCCGUCCAAGUGCAACAUUGAGAGAGUCGUAUAGCAGCACAGUAGCCGGCUGGAUAGCAGCAGGCUGCUGUAAUGCUUCUGAGGCUGACCAUCAAAUAUGAGAGAACUGCACUGCGGUUUUGGAACGAUGGCAGCCCACAGUCUGCUGGGGAGGGUGCACAGGGUAGGGGAACCUGGCAGGGCUGCCUGGAAGAGCCCCGCUGUCAGCCUCCCCACCCCUGCGGCUCUGGCUGUCAGAGAUGUAGGGCAGAGAGCAGGAGUGAGGGAGAGAGAGAGGAAUGCAGGGAAGGAGGAGGACCACGGGUUGAGCCUGCCCACAGACUGACCAUCUGUCUAACACACGCUCGCGUCCUCAUGGGGGAACAGCAGGCUCUCGCACGCCCCUCUCCAAUCUCUCCUAUUGGACUGAUGAAAAUCUGGGGUUCCUUCCCAAAAUCAAACACAGUCCUUAUAUUAAAUUAUUGACCUCUCCUAUCAUGUGGGACAUUUUUUUCAGCUUGGGUAUGAAGUAAAGUAAAUAAAGUAAAUGUGAAUACUGCAUAAGAUCACUGAGGACAUCCUUGAUGCUUAUUAUUUAGUCAUGAAAAAGCAUCAUAGACUAGAGGAUGUGUGUCAAAUGCAUUUGAAGAAUUUCCUGAACCAGAGUGUUUAAAAUGCAGACUUUAUUUUCUAAAAUUGAUAAUAUUGUUGAUAAAGUUAACAUGAAUGACCAUCCAACUGAAAAACAUUCUAUAGCCAUUCCAGAAAUAUUUCCUGUGACACCCAGAAACUUGAACAAACGUACAGUCUGAGAAUGCUGUGGGAAUUUUGUGGGAGUUUUGAAAACCAAAAAAAUUUUGUUUGAGGAAAAGGGGAAAUAGCUUGUGAAAUGGACUGGAGUAAAAACAUGGACUGAUUAUUUAAUUAAGGACAGUCGCAGGAAAAGUCUCAGGGAAAAGGUAACAAUUUUCAGAAACAAGUACCUCAGGAGGAAGUAGAAUAAUUCCAUUUGUCCGCAAAGGCUAUGAUGGCAGUUACUUAGCCGUCCCUUGCCAAAUAUCGAAUCACAUGUGACUUUGUUCAUAUUAGACUGACAACAUUGUUGUCAUCUUUGUUGGGGUUUUGCACUGUGGAUUUCAUAAUUGUGUGUGUUUUAUAAAAGCUCUAUUUCUGGUU